rnacentral:rRNA from 1 species
GAGCCUACGGGACGCAGCAGUCGAGAAUCAUUCACAAUGGGGGAAACCCUGAUGGUACGACGCCGCGUGGGGGAACGAAGGUCUUCGGAUUGUAAACCCUUGUCAUGUGGGAGCAAAUUAAAAAGAUAGUACCACAAGAGGAAGAGACGGCUAACUCUGUGCCAGCAGCCGCGGUAAUACAGAGGUCUCAAGCGUUGUUCGGAAUCACUGGGCGUAAAGCGUGCGUAGGCUGUUUCGUAAGUCGUGUGUGAAAGGCGCGGGCUCAACCCGCGGACGGCACAUGCUACUGCGAUACUAGAGUAAUG